rnacentral:hammerhead_ribozyme from 1 species
AUCCAUCUGACAAGUCUCAAAUAAGACGAAACGCGUGUCAGACUGGAU